rnacentral:sRNA from 1 species
GUGACAGCACUUGAAGAUGAAUUUCUACAUUUAUCUGCAGAAGUGGUACAGCACAAGGGAUUGGCUGUGCUGCUUCCUCUACAAAUAGGCCUGAACCCUGACCUGAAGAGAUCACCUCUAGAGAUAAGUCUCCAUGCCCAUUCAAUCCUUGACCUCC